UUCAGGUUUCAAAGAACUUGAGUUAAUGGUU
rnacentral:piRNA from 1 species